ACCCGAUCGACGCACGUCUCCAAUCUCCGAUCCCCUCUUCCUCCUCCUCGUCCUCUCGAGUCUAUUGAUCUCUGGGGGCAGCGGUUCAUCGAUCUCUUACUGGCCCUGUUAGUCUCUCUCGUGGCGGUGGUCAGGUCCGUUCAUUUUCUUGCUUUUCUAUGCGUUCGAAGGGGGAGUAGGUCGAUGAACGUCAGCAUCCGGACUUCCACAUCGACCCGUCUCCCGACCCCCCUUCGCCGUCCAUUCGUUGGGAUCUCUCCUUUAGCUCUAUUCUUUGCACCAGAGACUGGGAGAAAAAAGAUCUGAGGUGAUGGCUAUUUUUGAGUCGGCAAUAAUAGUGCCAUAAACAUAAAGAUCGGUACGGAGUGAUGGAGGGCUCGAGCUUGAUGAUUGAUGGAUGAGGAAAGUAAUUUUCUUUCUGCGCAAUAAACUGUUCCCAUUCUGUUUGGAUGCCUGUAGUUGUCAAAUAGACAUCUUUAACUAUGUACGUAUGUUCCAAUUUGGUUUAGUUCUCGUACUAAAUCUUGCUAAUUGGGAUAUUAUCAGUUUGCUGUUCUAUCCAGAUGAUGAAUUAAAAUAUCAAUUUUAGCUAGGAAGCUGGAUCUGUUUUGUAAGUCGUCAAGAACGGGCAAGCGGCAGAUAUUGUGAGAUGGAUUUAACAUGGCUUCGGGAGGAAUAAGUGGGGAAAACGAAGUAAAGCUGAUCAUACUAAUGGACAGAAGGGCGUGGUUUCCUAUGAAGGUGAUUGAGAUGUCUUCCGUGAUUUGAAGUGUUGACUCUGUGCCAGCCUCUGAAUUUUUUGGGCAAGACAGGAGAUAUCCUUGAUACACACUAGAUGACUGUAAUGUGCAUGGUCAGAGAGAGCACACAACAAUCUGGAGGUUAAUUACAUCUAUGACUGAGAGCAAAUAAUGCUCUGAAGUUUAGCCAGCCAUUGGUUAAGUCAUGAUUAUUUCAUGUAAGAUUCAACUUGACCCCAUAUGCAGCUGAAAUGGUCUCAUGCAUUGAUGCCAGACAGCCAGGAUGAAAAGCUGGUUUUUUAUUAUCAUAUUUGAUAGUUUUCUUUCUAUCUUUUCUGAAUGUAAGAAAUGUAGUUGGAUGCCAAGCAUAGCUAACUAUAUUAUUUACUCUCAACACCAGUUCAACUUUGUAUUCUUUGAGUGUUGACUAUGUAUUAGUUGGAUAACUGGUACACUGCACUGGUUGUUUAACACUUGAGGGCAAUGUAUUAUUGGUUUGCAAGUAAAACAUCUUCCACUUAAUUCAAAAGUAAGUUUCCUCU